rnacentral:rRNA from 1 species
AACGUAGGUGGCGAGCGUUAUCCGGAUUUACUGGGCGUAAAGCGUGUGCAGGUGGAUGGUUAAGUGGUGUAUGAAAUCGCCCGGCUCAACCGGGCGGGGUUAUGCCAGACUGGACAUCUAGAGCGUGGGAGAGGGAUGUGGAAUUCCGGGUGUAGUGGUGAAAUGCGUAGAGAUCCGGAGGAACCCCAGAGGCGAAGGCGGCAUCCUGGCCCACGACUGACACUCAGACACGACAGCAUGGGGAGCGAACGGG